rnacentral:rRNA from 1 species
UACGUAGGGGGCAAGCGUUGUCCGGAAUUAUUGGGCGUAAAGAGCGUGUAGGCGGUCCGAUAAGUCGGCUGUGAAAGUCCAGGGCUCAACCCUGGGAUGCCGGUCGAUACUGUCGGACUAGAGUUCGGAAGAGGCGAGUGGAAUUCCCGGUGUAGCGGUGAAAUGCGCAGAUAUCGGGAGGAACACCGGUGGCGAAGGCGGAUCUCUGGGCCUUACUGACGCUGAGGAGCGAAAGCGUGGGGAGCGAACAGG